rnacentral:rRNA from 1 species
AUUGAACGCUGGCGGCAUGCUUUACACAUGCAAGUCGAACGGUAACCGGCCUUCGGGUGCUGACGAGUGGCGAACGGGUGAGUAAUGCAUCGGAACGUGCCCAAUCGUGGGGGAUAACGUAGCGAAAGUUACGCUAAUACCGCAUAAGCCCUGAGGGGGAAAGUGGGGGACCGCAAGGCCUCACGCGAAUGGAGCGGCCGAUGUCAGAUUAGCUAGUUGGUGGGGUAAAGGCCUACCAAGGCGACGAUCCGUAGCUGGUCUGAGAGGACGACCAGCCACACUGGAACUGAGACACGGUCCAGACUCCUACGGGAGGCAGCAGUGGGGAAUUUUGGACAAUGGGGGCAACCCUGAUCCAGCCAUUCCGCGUGAGUGAAGAAGGCCUCGGUUGUAAGUACUCUUCGGUCAGGAACGAAACGGUAGGUCCGUAA